UUUCCCUCAGUAAAAAGUAGAUAAAACUAGAGAAGCUGUGAAAGUCCACACUGCGUAAGAAUUCAAGGGAUGCACUUGAAGGAAGAAAUGCUGCCGGGAGAAGACCCUUAGGUACCAUCACAGGAGGCAGUGGAGCACAUCACACCGGGGGUUCUGUGUCACACAGGGCCUGUACCUGCACAGAACUUCAAUUUUAGCUUCCAGUUUUCCCCGAUCUUGAGCAAGAUGAGCUCCUAGACAAAACAGGAUAUUCACACUACAGUGCUCAUUUUACAGAUGACUUCAAGAUGUAGAAUGUUGGGAAAUGGGGUGGAGGUGAAGGAAAUAGAUAAGCUGUAUUCGCAACCAACUCCCACAACUGCUGUUACAGAUCCCAUGUGCCACAGAACAUCUGUUUUUGCACAUCAACUCUACAGCUAGAUAAGAUCCAGAAACCUUGUCAUGAUCACAACUCUACUGGAGUGUUUAUUUGAGAGCAGCAUCACUGACUGGCAGAAUCCUAUUCUGUAUACCAACACAAUGUUUGGACACCCCAACAGCAACAUGGAGGGAGGAGACUAGAAACAACUGUGCAGCAGUUGUACUGCACCCAAGUUUUAGCACAAAGAUGGACUGGAUACAUACAUGGACUGAAUCAUACAUCCAUUUAAAAAAUAUGUUCCUGAGAUUUUAAAAAAUUAUUUAUGGAUAGCUGAAUAGUACUAGCAACUGUGCCCACAGUAUUUAACAUUAAAAUUUGACAAUUAGUAGAUAAUGAAUAAUACUGCUAAUGUUAUGCAACUAGGAGAUAUUAAGCUGCUAAUAACUACACUGGAUUAUCUGUUCAAUUUAAUUUUUAAUUCACGUACAGUGACGAAUGCAGAAGCAUAUUCCAUUCCUUUGAAUUUACAAAGGGUCAGGGUUACUAAUGUAGGUUUUGUAGUUUUGACUGACUAUCCGAUUACAUACAAACUGCCAGUGCUCCCAAGGCAAGGAGUGCAUGUUUCAAAACACGACUAGUCCUCUUCCCUAUGGGAAGCAGCAUUUGUUGAGAAAUAGAAGUGCAAGAUGCAAGAAUAACGGCUGAUGUGGAGUACUAAGUUUUAGAGCGACAGGAAAUGUGUCUUUCAGUCAGUCAACCUUUUAUGGAAUCAUUAACUUUUAUAGGUGAAAUAUUACAAAAAAACAUAUAUAUGUAGUUGAAGUGUUUUGAAACAAGUA